AGUCGGCCUCCUCCCUCCGCGAGCUGGACGCUCCGCAGCCCGCCCGCCAGCCGGCCCGCCGGCCGCCGCAGGAAUCCCUGGAUAAAGACCAGCUCAACCAUCGCUGAGAAAACAGACCUAGGCUUCCCAGGGCGGUUAACCCGCCGGCCUCUGGGCAGAGACUGUACCCAGUAUGAGAAUGUAACCAUCUGUAUGUGCAUAGAAGGCUGAAGAAAGCGGGUGCAAACAGGAAAAACACAUGCAAUCCUAACGAGCUCAAAAUGGACACUGGAAUCAAGCGUAGGGUUUAAUUUCACCCCAAACCGUGACACAUAGCUCCACAAAAUUCCCUUCACCAGACCUAAAGUCUGCAUAAAACCUCGCAUCAAUUCAGGCUCGUUUUGGGGGACAUGACAUGACUUUUUAGCUAGGACUGGAACAUUAAAAAUUUUGAAAGCCAGUAUGCCUUUAUAAAUGUAAAAUCACUUUGAUGUCAAGCAAAAUAUCUAAUAAUUUGCCUCCCUUCUUU
rnacentral:lncRNA from 1 species